rnacentral:rRNA from 1 species
CAGCCGCCGCGGUAAUACGUAGGUGGCAAGCGUUGUCCGGAAUUAUUGGGCGUAAAGGGCUCGCAGGCGGUUUCUUAAGUCUGAUGUGAAAGCCCCCGGCUCAACCGGUGAGGGUCAUUGGAAACUGGGAAACUUGAGUGCAGAAGAGGAGAGUGUAAUUCCACGUGUAGCGGUGAAAUGCGUAGAGAUGUGGAGGAACACCAGUGGCGAAGGCGACUCUCUGGUCUGUAACUGACGCUGAGGAGCGAAAGCGUGGGGAGCGAACAGGAUUAGAGACCCCAGUAGUCCCUGUCUCUUAUAC